rnacentral:rRNA from 1 species
CUUAUAUUCUGUAGCAAGGUUAACCGAAUAGGGGAGCCGAAGGGAAACCGAGUCUUAACUGGGCGUUAAGUUGCAGGGUAUAGACCCGAAACCCGGUGAUCUAGCCAUGGGCAGGUUGAAGGUUGGGUAACACUAACUGGAGGACCGAACCGACUAAUGUUGAAAAAUUAGCGGAUGACUUGUGGCUGGGGGGGAAAGGCCAAUCAAACCGGGAGAUAGCUGGUUCUCCCCGAAAGCUAUUUAGGUAGCGCCUCGUGAAUUCAUCUCCGGGGGUAGAGCACUGUUUCGGCAAGGGGGUCAUCCCGACUUACCAACCCGAUGCAAACUGCGAAUACCGGAGAAUGUUAUCACGGGAGACACACGGCGGGUGCUAACGUCCGUCGUGAAGAGGGAAACAACCCAGACCGCCAGCUAAGGUCCCAAAGUCAUGGUUAAGUGGGAAACGAUGUGGGAAGGCCCAGACAGCCAGGAUGUUGGCUUAGAAGCAGCCAUCAUUUAAAGAAAGCGUAAUAGCUCACUGGUCGAGUCGGCCUGCGCGGAAGAUGUAACGGGGCUAAACCAUGCACCGAAGCUGCGGCAGCGACGCUUAUGCGUUGUUGGGUAGGGGAGCGUUCUGUAAGCCUGCGAAGGUGUGCUGUGAGGCAUGCUGGAGGUAUCAGAAGUGCGAAUGCUGACAUAAGUAACGAUAAAGCGGGUGAAAAGCCCGCUCGCCGGAAGACCAAGGGUUCCUGUCCAACGUUAAUCGGGGCAGGGUGAGUCGACCCCUAAGGCGAGGCCGAAAGGCGUAGUCGAUGGGAAACAGGUUAAUAUUCCUGUACUUGGUGUUACUGCGAAGGGGGGACGGAGAAGGCUAUGUUGGCCGGGCGACGGUUGUCCCGGUUUAAGCGUGUAGGCUGGUUUUCCAGGCAAAUCCGGAAAAUCAAGGCUGAGGCGUGAUGACGAGGCACUACGGUGCUGAAGCAACAAAUGCCCUGCUUCCAGGAAAAGCCUCUAAGCAUCAGGUAACAUCAAAUCGUACCCCAAACCGACACAGGUGGUCAGGUAGAGAAUACCAAGGCGCUUGAGAGAACUCGGGUGAAGGAACUAGGCAAAAUGGUGCCGUAACUUCGGGAGAAGGCACGCUGAUAUGUAGGUGAAGUCCCUCGCGGAUGGAGCUGAAAUCAGUCGAAGAUACCAGCUGGCUGCAACUGUUUAUUAAAAACACAGCACUGUGCAAACACGAAAGUGGACGUAUACGGUGUGACGCCUGCCCGGUGCCGGAAGGUUAAUUGAUGGGGUUAGCGCAAGCGAAGCUCUUGAUCGAAGCCCCGGUAAACGGCGGCCGUAACUAUAACGGUCCUAAGGUAGCGAAAUUCCUUGUCGGGUAAGUUCCGACCUGCACGAAUGGCGUAAUGAUGGCCAGGCUGUCUCCACCCGAGACUCAGUGAAAUUGAACUCGCUGUGAAGAUGCAGUGUACCCGCGGCAAGACGGAAAGACCCCGUGAACCUUUACUAUAGCUUGACACUGAACAUUGAGCCUUGAUGUGUAGGAUAGGUGGGAGGCUUUGAAGUGUGGACGCCAGUCUGCAUGGAGCCGACCUUGAAAUACCACCCUUUAAUGUUUGAUGUUCUAACGUGGACCCGUAAUCCGGGUUGCGGACAGUGUCUGGUGGGUAGUUUGACUGGGGCGGUCUCCUCCUAAAGAGUAACGGAGGAGCACGAAGGUUGGCUAAUCCUGGUCGGACAUCAGGAGGUUAGUGCAAUGGCAUAAGCCAGCUUGACUGCGAGCGUGACGGCGCGAGCAGGUGCGAAAGCAGGUCAUAGUGAUCCGGUGGUUCUGAAUGGAAGGGCCAUCGCUCAACGGAUAAAAGGUACUCCGGGGAUAACAGGCUGAUACCGCCCAAGAGUUCAUAUCGACGGCGGUGUUUGGCACCUCGAUGUCGGCUCAUCACAUCCUGGGGCUGAAGUAGGUCCCAAGGGUAUGGCUGUUCGCCAUUUAAAGUGGUACGCGAGCUGGGUUUAGAACGUCGUGAGACAGUUCGGUCCCUAUCUGCCGUGGGCGCUGGAGAAUUGAGGGGGGCUGCUCCUAGUACGAGAGGACCGGAGUGGACGCAUCACUGGUGUUCGGGUUGUCAUGCCAAUGGCACUGCCCGGUAGCUAAAUGCGGAAGAGAUAAGUGCUGAAAGCAUCUAAGCACGAAACUUGCCCCGAGAUGAGUUCUCCCUGACUCCUUGAGAGUCCUGAAGGAACGUUGAAGACGACGACGUUGAUAGGCCGGGUGUGUAAGCGCAGCGAUGCGUUGAGCUAACCGGUACUAAUGAACCGUGAGGCUUAACCUU